rnacentral:rRNA from 1 species
CUUGGUCAUUUAGAGGAAGUAAAAGUCGUAACAAGGUUUCCGUAGGUGAACCUGCGGAAGGAUCAUUAUUGAAAUAAAUCUGAUGGGUUGUUGCUGGUUCCCUAGGGAGCAUGUGCACGCCUUGUCAUCUUUAUAUCUCCACCUGUGCACUUUUUGUAGACCUUUCAGGUCUAUGUUGCUUCAUUUACCCCAAUGUAUGUCAAUAGAAUGUUGUGCCUAUUUUAAUAUAUACAACUUUCAGCAACGGAUCUCUUGGCUCUCGCAUCGAUGAAGAACGCAGCGAAAUGCGAUAAGUAAUGUGAAUUGCAGAAUUCAGUGAAUCAUCGAAUCUUUGAACGCACAUUGCGCCCCUUGGUAUUCCGAGGGGCGUGCCUGUUCGAGCGUCAUUAUGACCACUCAAGCCUAGCUUGGUAUUGGGGUUCGCGGUCUUGCGGCCCCUAAAAUCAGUGGCGGUGCCGUCUGGCUCUAAGCGUAGUAAUUUUCUCGCUAUGGGGUCUGGAUAGUUACUUGCCAAAACCUCAACUUCUCACGGUUGACCUCGGAUCAGGUAGGGAUACCCGCUGAACUUAAGCAUAUCAAUAAGCGGAGGA